rnacentral:rRNA from 1 species
GUGCACCAGGCGCGAAACUUUACAAUGUGCGAAAGCACGAUAAGGGAACUCUGAGUGCCUCCUAAGGAGGCUGUUCAGGUGUCUAAAAGCACCUGAAGGAAGGGCUGGGUAAGACCGGUGCCAGCCGCCGCGGUAACACCGGCAGCCCAAGUGGUAGCCACGUUUAUUGGGUCUAAAGCGUCCGUAGCCGGCUGGGUAAGUUCCUUGGGAAAUUUGGCUGCCUAACAGUCAAGCUUUCAGGGAAUACUGCUCGGCUUGGGACCGGGAGAGGUCAGAGGUACUCCAGGGGUAGGGGUGAAAUCCAUUAAUCCUUGGGGGACCACCGGUAGCGAAGGCGUCUGACCAGACCGGGUCCGACGGUGA